GAUGAACGCUGGCGGCGUGCUUAACACAUGCAAGUCGAACGAAGCACUUAUGACAGAUUCUUCGGAUGAUGGAUUAAGUGACUGAGUGGCGGACGGGUGAGUAACGCGUGGGUAACCUGCCUCAUACAGGGGGAUAACAGUUAGAAAUGACUGCUAAUACCGCAUAAGCGCACAAUACCGCAUGGUAAGGUGUGAAAAACUCCGGUGGUAUGAGAUGGACCCGCGUCUGAUUAGCUAGUUGGUGGGGUAACGGCCUACCAAGGCGACGAUCAGUAGCGGGCCUGAGAGGGUGAACGGCCACAUUGGGACGGAGGCACGGCCCAAACUCCUACGGGAGGCAGCAGUGGGGAAUAUUGCACAAUGGGGGAAACCUUGAUGCAGCGACGCCGCGUGAGUGAAGAAGUAUUUCGGUAUGUAAAGCUCUAUCAGCAGGGAAGAAAAUGACGGUACCUGACGAAGAAGCACCGGCUAAAUACGUGCCAGCAGCCGCCGUAAGAC
rnacentral:rRNA from 1 species